AGAGGGUUUUCACGGCGCGUCAUCAGCGCGUCAUCAAUCCGGCAGUCGCCAUGUUGGAGGUACUCGGCAAGUUGUCAGAGGAAAGGAGGCGCUUGUGGUUAGCGAAGCUGAACCAGGAUCUACGUGGCAAAAAUCUGGACAACGUCCGAAUUUGUUUGGCCCAUUUCUUGUCAGGUAAAAGGUCUGACCUUUAUCAAAAGGAUGACCCAGAUUGGGUGCCAUCUGUCGGAAUGACAGGUCAGCAAAGGUCUCCUGAAAAAGCUGGGACAUCAUCACGCUACAGCCGUCGUGGGAAUAGAACCCAGCAGAGACUGAGAGAAGCUGCUGCUGAUGCUGCUGCUGGUGCUGGAGUUGCUGCAGAGACUGAUGAUUCUGAGACUGAUGACCCUACUACAAGUGGUUAUAUCAGCAGCAAUUUGUGCAGCACAGAGACUCAAAGUGAAUUGACUGGUGAUUUAAUUGAGGCUAUGACCAGCGAACUUCAAAAUCUUAGAACUGAAAACAUCCAGUUGUGCUCUGAUGUUGCACAUUUGUCCACUACCUAUGACCAAAGUGCAUUUGUUGAUAAUGAUGAAAAGGUUUUAUUUUUCACUGGCCUACC